UUUAAAACCACUGCAAAUCUUAAUAAAUUAUUCAUAACUUCAGUCCCAGACGAAGAAAUAUCCGAAUGCUCGGGAAAUAUAUAAAAGUUAGUCCA